AUUUCCACAGCAGUGCACACAAUGGAACAGAACAUGAGGUCAAGAAUAACAGAACAGAAAUUCACCUUCUAUUUCUGGGAAGAAAUGAGAAGAUGGAAGAUCACAUUCUGAAGUGACAUCCACGGCUCUCCAAGGAGUGAGAUACAUGAAAGAGAGUGGGGCUGGAGGCCAUUUCCUUGCACAGCUUUUGAGCGGAUCUAUUUUAUUUCUGAAGUCUUUUAUUGUCUUUUGUUUCUUGAGGGGUAGAGGGGUAGGAAAAGUCACUUCAGGACUUCCUCUGCCAUCUUUUAGUGGGGACCGCAAUGAAGUCUGGGGUCAGACUGUCUUCAAAAAAACCACAGGAUUCCUUUGUUGGUUCUGAGUCUGUAUAGAGUUCCUACUAUGUUUUCACACCAUGUUGUUUUGUGUCUGAACUGGUGUCCUAAAGAUAGCUGGAGAUCAAGAGAUGGUGGGUUGGUUGUUCCUUCAUAUAUUCUUGUACUAGACCCCGAGUUCCAGUUGAUGGAAGAUACAGGCUGUGUCCUCACACAGCUUCCCAUGUAAUGGACAGUGGUGGCACUAGGCACCGAAACCUGUAGAAUGAGAAGCAGAGGGGACAAGCUAUCUGCCACAAAUGUGCUCCCUAUCAUAAAGCAGUUGCAGGGAAGCCAUUGUGUACACUUCCAGUGCUAUUUGUGUCUAGAUGGAGUCACAUUCACCAUGCUCUAAACUAAACCAAACCAAACCAAAAUGAACAAGAAAAAGAAAACGGAGCAGAAGUGAUGAGCAUUAUUUCUAGACCCGGAUCAUAGAAGUUCCUGCACAAUUUUCCAUGCAUUCUUUCCUCGCACCUCUGUUGGUUGGAUGUCAGUGUCUUAUGGGAGUCAUGUGAAGGUGGCAAAUGCUGUCAGCCUGGGUCCCUGAAUGGCUGUAUGGAGCAGAGUUUGCCUUUAUUCCAUAUAUUGCCA
rnacentral:lncRNA from 1 species